AACGAACGCUGGCGGCAGGCUUAACACAUGCAAGUCGAACGGUUGUAGCAAUACAGCAGUGGCAGACGGGUGAGUAACACGUGGGAACCUUCCUAGGGGUACGGAACAACUCAGGGAAACUUGAGCUAAUACCGUAUACGUCCGUGAGGAGAAAGAUUUAUCGCCCUUAGACGGGCCCGCGUAGGAUUAGGUAGUUGGUGGGUAAUGGCCUACCAAGCCUACGAUCCUUAGCUGAUCUGAGAGGANGAUCAGCCACACUGGGACUGAGACACGGCCCAGACUCCUACGGGAGGCAGCAGUGGGGAAUCUUGGACAAUGGCGCAAGCCUGAUCCAGCCAUGCCGCGUGAGUGAAGAAGGCCUU
rnacentral:rRNA from 1 species